UCAUUUUCCCUGGUCAUGGUGCUUUGGAGACAUUUAAUCAACUAUCCAAAUCAUAGCUUUCCAUCCCCGACCUGGAUGUAUAAGUGAAGAUACUAGGGCCUAUGAGGACACUUUUGUAGUCACCAAGGUGGAUAGAAGCAGAGACAGUUAAAGGCUUUCAUAGAAGAAGACUGGACUCCCCUGAGGAAGAGAUAAUUCAGGCUUUGGACUUGAACUGCAGUAUCAACUCUUCCCUGGAUCUCCAGCCUGCCAGUUUACCCUGAAGAUUUCAGACUUGCCACUCUUCUCAGCUGCAGUUGUGGAGAAGUGAUGGUUUCCUCUUCUCUACUCUCAUGGCGCCUCUGGAAUCCUCCUGGAAGGAACACAUCAUUUCCUUACUCAAAACACUCUAAGGGUUCCCAGUGCUAUUUAAAAUAAAAUAAAAGUCUUCCUUAUGAAAAACAUUCCCCACCAUGACCUUUCUGACUCUUACAUAGUGUCUCCCAGCCCCACAGACCCCCUUUCUGCCCCCAUGAACUUUUUAUUCUUAUUCUGACCUCAGGGCCUUUGGACUUGGCAGUCUUUAUCCCUCUUUUCUCGUAUUUGCACCUCU